UACAGAGGUCUCAAGCGUUGUUCGGAUUCAUUGGGCGUAAAGGGUGCGUAGGCGGCGCGGUAAGUCGGGUGUGAAAUCUCGGAGCUUAACUCCGAAACUGCAUUCCAUACUGCGGUGCUUGAGGACUGGAGAGGAGACUGGAAUUUACGGUGUAGCAGUGAAAUGCGUAGAGAUCGUAAGGAAGACCAGUGGCGAAGGCGGGUCUCUGGACAGUUCCUGACGCUGAGGCACGAAGGCCAGGGGAGCAAACGGG
rnacentral:rRNA from 1 species